AUGUUAACUGUAAAAGUCUAGACAAUUACAAUUAAUAGAUUUCAAUUUAAAUCAAUAUUGUCAAUGUCAACUUAAUGAUGAUAAUAAUAAUUUAAGUGGAUUAAUAUUAAUAGUUAGUGAAUAUUAUUAAAUUGUUACAUUACCAAGUAAUCACAAUCAACUACUGACAAAAUGAUGGAUGGAAAUUAAGUUAAUUUUCAAUGAUGAUUACAAUUAGUUUCCAAAUUGCGACAACGUUAAAUUAGAGGGACUUUUCCUGAUCACUAUAAUUUACUAGGAAAAAAAAUCCAUAACAAUCAAAGGUAAUAUAAUGAUGAUAAUCAUCAUCAUCAUCAUCAUCAACAACAACAACAACAAGUUAAACAUCAUGAUGAUAUUAUCAUGGGAUAAAUGGUAAAAAUAAUAGUAGUGGUUGUAAGAGAUGAAGAGUAACCUCGCUCAUCAAAUGGUCAAGAUAAUUACGAUCGCAAGGAAAGAAGAAGAAGAAAACUUUUGUGAGAGAGAAAAAGAUGAUGAUGAAGGAGGAAAAAAAGAAAAGGAAGAUGAGAAA